rnacentral:rRNA from 1 species
GAUGAACGCUGGCGGCGUGCCUAAUACAUGCAAGUCGAGCGAACAGACGAGGAGCUUGCUCCUCUGACGUUAGCGGCGGACGGGUGAGUAACACGUGGAUAACCUACCUAUAAGACUGGGAUAACUUCGGGAAACCGGAGCUAAUACCGGAUAAUAUAUUGAACCGCAUGGUUCAAUAGUGAAAGACGGUUUUGCUGUCACUUAUAGAUGGAUCCGCGCCGCAUUAGCUAGUUGGUAAGGUAACGGCUUACCAAGGCGACGAUGCGCAGCCGACCUGAGAGGGUGAUCGGCCACACGGGAACUGAGACACGGUCCAGACUCCUACGGGAGGCAGCAGUAGGGAAUCUUCCGCAAUGGGCGAAAGCCUGACGGAGCAACGCCGCGUGAGUGAUGAAGGUCUUCGGAUCGUAAAACUCUGUUAUUAGGGAAGAACAAAUGUGUAAGUAACUAUGCACGUCUUGACGGUACCUAAUCAGAAAGCCACGGCUAACUACGUG